CCACCAUCCAGUUCUGAUCCUGAACUCCCAGUCAGAAGAACAGACAGUUAUGAGGCACUGCCACCAUACAUGUCUGAAGUCCAGGAUGAUUUGUCUAAAGCAGAAACCAGGAAGGAGCCGU